GAUGAACGCCGGCGGCGUGCUUAACACAUGCAAGUCGAGCGAGAAGUUUUGAAAAGAUUCUUCGGAUGAAAUUUAAAAUGGAAAGCGGCGGACGGGUGAGUAACGCGUAGGCAACCUGCCCCAUACAAAGGGAUAGCAUUUGGAAACGAAUAUUAAUACCUUAUGAAACUUAACUAGUGCAUGCUAGGUAGGUCAAAGAUUUAUCGGUAUGGGAUGGGCCUGCGUCUGAUUAGCUAGUUGGUGAGGUAACGGCUCACCAAGGCGACGAUCAGUAGCCGACCUGAGAGGGUGAACGGCCACAUUGGAACUGAGACACGGUCCAAACUCCUACGGGAGGCAGCAGUGGGGAAUAUUGCACAAUGGGGGAAACCCUGAUGCAGCAACGCCGCGUGAACGAUGAAGGCCUUUGGGUCGUAAAGUUCUNUUCUAGGUGA
rnacentral:rRNA from 1 species